CCUACACAUGCAAGUCGAGCGGAUGAGUGGAGCUUGCUCCAUGAUUCAGCGGCGGACGGGUGAGUAAUGCCUAGGAAUCUGCCUGGUAGUGGGGGAUAACGUUUCGAAAGGAACGCUAAUACCGCAUACGUCCUACGGGAGAAAGUGGGGGAUCUUCGGACCUCACGCUAUCAGAUGAGCCUAGGUCGGAUUAGCUAGUUGGUGGGGUAAUGGCCCACCAAGGCGACGAUCCGUAACUGGUCUGAGAGGAUGAUCAGUCACACUGGAACUGAGACACGGUCCAGACUCCUACGGGAGGCAGCAGUGGGGAAUAUUGGACAAUGGGCGAAAGCCUGAUCCAGCCAUGCCGCGUGUGUGAAGAAGGUCUUCGGAUUGUAAAGCACUUUAAGUUGGGAGGAAGGGCAGUAAGUUAAUACCUUGCUGUUUUGACGUUACCAACAGAAUAAGCACCGGCUAACUUCGUGCCAGCAGCCGCGGUAAUACGAAGGGUGCAAGCGUUAAUCGGAAUUACUGGGCGUAAAGCGCGCGUAGGUGGUUCAGCAAGUUGGAUGUGAAAGCCCCGGGCUCAACCUGGGAAUUGCAUCCAAAACUACUGAGCUAGAGUACGGUAGAGGGUGGUGGAAUUUCCUGUGUAGCGGUGAAAUGCGUAGAUAUAGGAAGGAACACCAGUGGCGAAGGCGACCACCUGGACUGAUACUGACACUGAUGUGCGAAAGCGUGGGGAGCAAACAGGAUUAGAUACCCUGGUAGUCCACGCCGUAAACGAUGUCGACUAGCCGUUGGGAUCCUUGAGAUCUUACUGGCGCAGCUAACGCGAUAAGUCGACCGCCUGGGGAGUACGGCCGCAAGGUUAAACUCAAAUGAAUUGACGGGGGCCCGCACAAGCAGUGGAGCAUGUGGUUUUAAUUCAAAGCAACACAAACAACCAUAACUGUGCUUGACAUGCACAGAACUUUCCACAAUGAAUUGUGGCUUUCUGUAAAU
rnacentral:rRNA from 1 species